UACGUAGGGGCUAGCGUUAUCCGGAAUUACUGGGCGUAAAGGGCGCGCAGGCUGUUAUGCGAGUCUGCUGUGAAAUGUACCGGCUCAACCAGUGCCUUGCGGCGGAUACUGCAUAGCUGGAGUACUGGAGAGGCAAGUGGAAUUCCCAGUGUAGCGGUGAAAUGCGUAGAUAUUGGGAAGAACACCGGUGGCGAAGGCGACUUGCUGGGCAGCAACUGACGCUGAGGCGCGAAAGCCAGGGGAGCAAACGGGA
rnacentral:rRNA from 1 species